rnacentral:rRNA from 1 species
GACGAACGCUGGCGGCGUGCUUAACACAUGCAAGUCGAACGGAAAGGCCCUGCUUUUGUGGGGUGCUCGAGUUGCGAACGGGUGAGUAACACGUGAGUACCCUGCCCUUGCCUUUGGGAUAACUUCAGGAAACUGGGGCUAAUACCGGGUAGGAGCUCCUGCUGCAUGGUGGGGGUGGGAAAGUUUCGGCGGUUGGGGAGGGACUCGCGGCUUAUCAGCUUGUUGGUGGGGUAGUGGCUUACCAAGGCUUUGACGGGUAGCCGGCCUGAUAGGGUGACCGGCCACAUUGGGACUGAGAUGCGGCACAGACUCCUACGGGACGGAGCAGUGGGGAAGAUUGCACAAUGGGCUGAAGCCUGAUGCAGCCACGCCGCGUGCGGGAUGACGGCCAGCGGGUUGUAAAGCACUUUCGCCUGUGACGAAGAGUGAGUGACGGUAAUGGGUAAAGAAGCACCGGCUAACUACGUG